UCACAGCUCAGUCAGUAGAGCAUGAGACUUUUAAUCUCAUCGUCAUGGGCUUGAGCCCCAUGUUGGGCAGAA